AUGAAAUUCUAUUAUACCAAAGGGACUCGGUAAAGGCGAAGGCAGCCCUAUAUGUAAAAACUGACGUUGAAGGACGAAGGCACAGAGCACAAACAGGAUUAGAUACCCAAGUAGUCUUUGCAGUAAAUGAUGAAUGUCAUAGGUUAGAUUAAGCUUUAAUAAAUUAGUUUAAUCAGUUUAAACUAACUAUUAAACAAUAUUUAGUCUAUAAAUGAAAGUGUAAGCAUUCCACCUCAAGAGUAAUGUGGCAACGCAGGAACUGAAAUCACUAGACCGUUUCUGACACCAGUAGUGAAGUAUGUUGUUUAAUUCGAUGAUCCACGAAAAACCUUACCACAAUUUGAAUAUUUUAAAGGAGUUGCACGGCUGUUUUCAGUUAAUGUUGUGAAACUGUGGUUUCCAUGAAAUUAACGCAAUCCCUAGCUUUAUUUUUUUUUUUUUACGAUAAAGCAUUUGAUCCAGGAUUUGGAAAGAAAAAGGGGACAAAGACAAGUCAUCAUGGCCUUGAUAUUGUGGGCUAUAGACGUGCCACAUAUACCUACACAAAGAGAUGCAAAAAUGUGAAUUUAAGCUAAUCUCUAAAAAUAGGAUAUAAAUUUUAAGGAUUAUAGUCUGAAACUCGACUAUAUGAAUAAGUAAUUACUAGUAAUCGUGAAUCACCAUGUCACGGUGAAUAUACCUUGGAUUGGUACUAACCACUCGUCACAUGCUGAAAAGAGCAUGCGCAAUAAGUUUGCUUUCUUAAUGAUCAGUAAAAAGAACAAGUAGGUUAUAUAAUCUAUUAUUAAG
rnacentral:rRNA from 1 species